GCACUUAACGGAUUAAGUGUUCCGCCUGGGGAGUACGGUCGCAAGAUUAAAACUCAAAGGAAUAGACGGGGACCCGCACAAGUGGUGGAGCAUGUGGUUUAAUUCGAAGAUACGCGAAGAACCUUACCUAGCCUUGACAUUGAUUGAACAGAGUAGAGAUACACUGGUGCCCUUCGGGGAACAUGAAAACAGGUGCUGCACGGCUGUCGUCAGCUCGUGUCGUGAGAUGUUGGGUUAAGUCCCGCAACGAGCGCAACCCUCGUCCUUAGUUGCCAGCAGGUUAAGCUGGGCACUCUAAGGAGACUGCCUUCGUAAGGAGGAGGAAGGUGAGGACGACGUCAAGUCAUCAUGGCCCUUAUGGCUAGGGCUACACACGUGCUACAAUGGGGCGUACAGAGAGUUGCGAUACCGCGAGGUGGAGCCAAUCUCAUAAAGCGUCUCUCAGUUCGGAUAGAAGUCUGCAACUCGACUUCUUGAAGCUGGAAUCACUAGUAAUCGUAGAUCAGCAAUGCUACGGUGAAUACGUUCCCGGGUCUUGUACUCACCGCCCGUCACACCAUGGGAGUUGAUUUCACCCGAAAUUGGGAAGCUAACCUUCGGGGGGCUACCACUUACGGUGGAAUUAGCGACUGGGGUGAAGUCGUAACAAGGUA
rnacentral:rRNA from 1 species